rnacentral:rRNA from 1 species
CGUAGGGUGCGAGCGUUAAUCGGAAUUACUGGGCGUAAAGCGUGCGCAGGCGGUUUAGUAAGACAGGCGUGAAAUCCCCGGGCUCAACCUGGGAACUGCGCUUGUGACUGCUAAGCUAGAGUACGGCAGAGGGGGGGUGGAAUUCCACGUGUAGCAGUGAAAUGCGUAGAGAUGUGGAGGAACACCAAUGGCGAAGGCAGCCCCCUGGGUCGAUACUGACGCUCAUGCACGAAAGCGUGGGUAGCAAACAGGAUUAGAUACCCUGGCAGUCCACGCCCUAAACGAUGUCAACUAGGUGUUGGGAGGGUAAAACCUUUUAGUACCGGAGCUAACGCGUGAAGUUGACCGCCUGGGGAGUACGGCCGCAAGGUUA